AUCGGUUGGUGCAGAAGCCUGCUGGGAUCAGAUUCAACUACAUUUUUCAGAGGAUCUUGUGGCCGUGUCAAAGAGAGUUGUAUGCACAGGCUUUUCUCCUCCCUCCCUCCCUUCCCUCCUCCUUCCCUCCACCAUGGAGGCCAGCAACGCUGCCUUCAGCAACCACAGCAGCCCUGGCCGAGGUGCCUGCAUUGUGUGUCCAAAAACACCGGUAUAGAUAAAAGUAAUGAAAAGAAGUACUGCAAGAUUUGGUGGUAUCAUAUACAUGCCUACAGGGAGCAUAUCUAUUGGACAGAAUAUUCUUUUGCAUCAAUAAAGACAGGCAAGUGAGAAAAGUGCUCUAAUUAAGAUGCCACCAACUGCUUGCUUCUCCCUCAGGUGGGCUGGUGUUUUGUCAGUUUAAAGGAUAAGGUUAUUUAGCCCUCAUAUUUGUUUUUAGCUUGCUCUUCAGCCAAUAAAGAUCCCAGCGUGGUUUAUAAAAUGCACGGGACUAGGAAGAAGUAGAAAAAUAGUGAUUGUUGAAUUUAGUUGCCCAGAUGAAUGGGAGCAUAACUGUUCUAGGACUGAUUGUACUAAGGUAUACCUUCUGCUCUACUUUUGUUGGCAUAUUCUUUGCUGACCUGUUCCUUUUAUUGUUGUUCUUCUUUUCUACCCCCCCCCCCCCAACUUUGACUUUCUAAUAGUUUAUUUCCUAUUUUUCUCUUCAAGAUAAGAAUGAUAAUUCUUCAGAAAUGUUUCUAAUCACAGUUGGGGAAAGGAUGAGCUACUACUGAGACACAUUCAUGUUUUAUAGAUACAGUAGAGUCUCCCUUAUCCAACACUUGCUUAUCCAACGUUCUGGAUUAUCCAACGCAUUUUUGUAGUCAAUGUUUUCAAUACAUCAUGAUAUUUUGGUGCUAAAUUUGUAGAUAUAGUAAUUACUACAUAGCAUUACUGCGUAUUGAACUACUUUUUCUGUCAAAUUUGUUGUAUAACAUGAUGUUUUGGUGCUUAAUUUGUAAAAUCAUAACCUAAUUUGAUAUUUAAUAGGCCUUUUCUUAAUCCCUCCUUAUUAUCCAACAUAUUCACUUAUCCAACAUUCUGCCGGCCCGUUUAUGUUGGAUAAGUGAGACUCUACUGUAUGGUGAACACCCCAAGGGCAGCAAUGGGGCAGGAAGUAGAGCUACUGGAGUUUCCUUGGUCGGAAAUCCAUGCAUUCAAACUGCCUUUGGGCCUGGAGGAGAAUUUUUGGGUGGGAAACUAUUUGUGAUGUCUAUGAAAAAUCAAAUAACAGGGAUCAUUCAGGUUGCUCUACUCAAAAUUCACCCACAGCCCAUUCACCAAAACACAGAGGUUAUCUUAUAUACGGCAUAUAGUAACACCCAUCAACAUCCUCUCACACAACAUGUCAUCUAAUAAAUAAUAAGUCUGAGAAACAUCCAGUUAUGGUGUACACUGGUAUUGCAAUCGCAUAGAGUCCCAGAAGCUCAUGGCCAUGGGCAAUGGUCACCUGCACAAAUGACAGGCACUCUUGAUAGAAAUAGUCUAAAAAGGGGGGAAAUGUGAGUAGAUUACAUCUCAAAACAGCACAUGUACAUGAUAAUGGGAUGGAUCAAAGAGUGAAGAUUUCAACAUAUAGCUGUGAUGGCAUAUGAUUUUAUCUCCUGCUUUUCACUUGGAUUUUAAGAUAUUUAUCCUGCUGGAUUAUGCUCUUCUUUUAUAUUUUAAAUGUUAAGAUGCUAUGGGUAUGCAGCUCCCAUUUCAAGAGUGUGGGUUUAUGGAUCCAGAAAAGUUAUUUGGGGGGAUUCUAAAGGCACAGAUAGAAACAGAAUAAAUAAGAGUCCAAUUAUAUAGUGAGGUCAUUGUUUGAAAAGGGGAGGGGGACAGUGCAGAAGACUCUUUCUCUAUAGAUUUCAUCAAUAAAGUUUACCUAGCUGAAGCCAAAGGUCAUAACAUAAGGCUUGGGUGAUACAUCAUUAAGAAAUUGCAGGGUCAUGCCCCAUUGAAUAGAUUUUGGCUUUUUGGGUGGCAAAGAGGUUUCAAAUCAUCCCCUUACCUGAAAAUUACAAACAACACGACAAUGGGAAAUUUGGCCAUUCAAGCUUAUAGGUUGGGUUUCACAAUCCCACCAACCACCAGAAUUAUCCUUCUGUGAGCUUACCUUAAUAUAAUGAUCUUCUAAAGGAAAUUUGAUAAACAUAACCCAAGUUAAAUUGAAGAUGCUGUUUUUAACAGGGAGGCUGAAAAAUGUUGAUGAAGCAGUGAGGGCAAUAUAAAUGCAGGGGCAGGUAGGCAAGACAAAUGUAUUAUGCCUAGUGACAGUUUACUGGUUGCCUUGUCUUAGUCUUAGGCGAUCCCUCGUAGGCCGAGGAUGAUGGUCCUCCAGUUAUAGGGUCUUGGGGGUGUGUCAGCAGGUGACUGAAGAGACCUAUUCUUGAUCUGCAUGUUCUCCCGCAAUGAGGACAUCGGUUUCCAGGUGGAAGGCAGUCUCGGUCAGGGUUGGCUUGACACUCCUUCCUCUUGGUUGCCUUGACAGAUAUAGUAUAGUGGGGAGAAACUUCUUUUCAGCCAUGCUUCUGUGGCAUGGUAUAUCAGGGACAUCUGGUUUACUACGGCCCUUCCAGACAGGCCCAAAAUGUGGGACCUGUCUCAGUUAAAAGUUUUCCCAGUUUGCUCCACAUUAAUUUGACACCUUGAAAGAUUCAAACCUUAAGCUAAGGCCCAGAUCUUUCCACAGUCGCAGCCUGUCAAUCCCCACAGCC